AUAGAUAUUAUUUUUCUAUGCAAGCUUCAUCUUCCAUUGUUUUACCUAGUUUUGUAAUGCAUUUUCCUCUCCCUCAAUCUUGCCAUGCAGGUUGUAGCUCCUGUCAAAAUGACAUUUGAAAUAUAUGCAACAUGUGUAAUACCUAUAAGUGCCUUCUUUGCAUCAACUCUUUGGUUUGGCAACACUGCCUAUUUGCACAUAUCUGUGGCUUUUAUCCAGAUGCUCAAAGCUCUAAUGCCAGUGGUAACAUUUUUC